UACGGGGGGAGCAAGCGUUGUUCGGAUUUACUGGGCGUAAAGGGCGCGUAGGCGGCGCAACAAGUCACUUGUGAAAUCUCCGGGCUUAACCCGGAGCGGCCAAGUGAUACUGCCGUGCUAGAGUGCGGAAGGGGCUACUGGAAUUCUCGGUGUAGCGGUGAAAUGCGUAGAUAUCGAGAGGAACACCUGCGGCGAAGGCGGGUAGCUGGGCCGACACUGACGCUGAGGCGCGAAAGCCAGGGGAGCGAACGGG
rnacentral:rRNA from 1 species